UGCCACAGCCAUAUCACCCUGCAGCCCAAGACCGGUUACUCACUAAAGUUAAGUAGGGCUGAACCUGGUCAGUUUCUGGAUGGGAAAGCACAUGGGAAAACUAGGUUGCUGUUGGAA
ensembl:rRNA 5S_rRNA 5S ribosomal RNA